rnacentral:rRNA from 1 species
GAUCAUUACCACACGUAAAAAACUUUCCACGUGAACCGUAUCAACCCUUUUAGUUGG